GCCAAAACUAGCUGUGGAUUGUAGAAAUAUCAAUUCAAGUGGAUCUGAUAGAGAAAAGGUGUUUCGUUCAACGUUAACGAGUCGGUCUUGUUCUGAGAUUGAUUCAGUUCCAACAGCUGAAACAAGGAAACAGCGUUGCUCGGGAGCAGAAGCUGUUAACUUGCUGGAACCUCUGGUCAAGAAACCUCCCAUGUCAAACAAGAGUGGGAGUACAGUACAACAACAAUCAGCGAAAAAGUGCAGAUUAAUGGU
rnacentral:misc_RNA from 1 species